UAUAUGAAUAGUUUCAAACUUUUCGCGCGCGAUCUCGUCUGAUCUCGGAAGCUAAGCAGGGUCGGGCCUGGUUAGUACUUGGAUGGGAAACCGAUUUAACAAUCAAGAGCUUAAAUAC
rnacentral:rRNA from 1 species